AUGAACGCUGGCGGCGUGCUUCACACCUGCAAGUCGAACGCAGCAUUUAAGACAGAUUACUUCGGUUUGAAGUCUUUUAUGACUGAGUGGCGGACGGGUGAGUAACGCGUGGGUAACCUGCCUCAUACAGGGGGAUAGCAGCUGGAAACGGCUGGUAAUACCGCAUAAGCGCACAGUACCACAUGGUACAGUGUGAAAAACUCCGGUGGUAUGAGAUGGACCCGCGUCUGAUUAGCUUGUUGGCGGGGUAACGGCCCACCAAGGCGACGAUCAGUAGCCGACCUGAGAGGGUGACCGGCCACAUUGGGACUGAGACACGGCCCAGACUCCUACGGGAGGCAGCAGUGGGGAAUAUUGCACAAUGGAGGAAACUCUGAUGCAGCGACGCCGCGUGAGUGAAGAAGUAGUUCGCUAUGUAAAGCUCUAUCAGCAGGGAAGAUAGUGACGGUACCUGACUAAGAAGCUCCGGCUAAAUACGUG
rnacentral:rRNA from 1 species